GUGGUUAUAGCUCAGUGGUAGAGUCUAAUUUUGCCAAGAUUAAAGUCACGCGUUCAAAUCGCGUUAUCCACU
rnacentral:tRNA from 1 species